GUCUUAUUGAUAAUAAUUUUAAGUCGAUCUGCCCAAUGAAUUUUUUUAAUGGCUGCAGUAUAACUGACUGUACAAAGGUAGCAUAAUCAAUUGGUUUUUAAAUGAAAUCUGGAAUGAAAGGAUUAAUGAAAUAUGUACUGUCUCAAUUGUACAAUUAUGAAAUUAAAAUUUUAAUAAAAAUGUUAAAAUUCACUUAUGGGACGAUAAGACCCUAUAGAAUUUUAUAUUGAAAUUACUCAGUAGUUAAUUCAGAAAUAGUUUCAAUAUUUGAUUGGGAGGAUUAUUAAAAUUAACCAACUUUAAUUUAAGUUAACUUUAAUUUAAGAGUAGAUAAUGAUCUUCAAUUUGAAAUUGCUAGAAUAAAUUACCUUAGGGAUAACAGCGUAAUACUUUUUUAUAGGCCAUAUAGAAAAAAGUGGUUGCGACCUCGAUGUUGAAUUAGGAUAAAUUUUAAAUGCAGGAGUUUAAUAAUUAAGUCUGUUCGACUUUUAACAAUCCUACAUGAUUUGAGUUCAAAUCGACGUAAGU
rnacentral:rRNA from 1 species